rnacentral:rRNA from 1 species
GACGAACGCUGGCGGCGUGCUUAACACAUGCAAGUCGAACGGAAAGGCCCUGCUUUUGUGGGGUGCUCGAGUGGCGAACGGGUGAGUAACACGUGAGUAACCUGCUCUUGACUUUGGGAUAACUUCAGGAAACUGGGGCUAAUACCGGAUAGGAGCUCCUGCUGCAUGGUGGGGGUUGGAAAGUUUCGGCGGUUGGGGAUGGACUCGCGGCUUAUCAGCUUGUUGGUGGGGUAGUGGCUUACCAAGGCUUUGACGGGUAGCCGGCCUGAGAGGGUGACCGGCCACAAUGGGACUGAGAUACGGCCCAGUCUCCUACGGGAGACAGCAGUGGGGAGUAUUACACAAUGGGCGGAAGCCUGAUGCGGCAGCGCCGCGUGCGGAAUGACGGCCUUCGGGUUGUAAACCGCUUUCGCCUAUGACGAAGCUUGAGUGACGGUAAUGAGUAAAGAAGCACCGGCUAACUACGUG